rnacentral:sRNA from 1 species
CCGGGCGACAGGUCGAUUCCCUGGACCGGCAGGAGUGGAGGACCCGGGCAAGCCGGGCCCGGCCGGAACCCUCCGGCCGGCCCUUGGGGUGAAGCCGCAACCGCGGCCGGGCAUCUUCGUUCUGCCCGAACCCGACAGGUCAUCCUUCACAGGCGGCUGACGAAGGGUUG